GGGCGAGUGGUGAAAUUGGUAUACACGUUAGUCUUAGGAACUAAUGCCGCAAGGUGUGAGGGUUCGAGUCCCUCCUCGCCCACCA
rnacentral:tRNA from 4 species